AGUGAACGCUGGCGGUAGGCCUAACACAUGCAAGUCGAACGGCAGCACAGUAAGAGCUUGCUCUUACGGGUGGCGAGUGGCGGACGGGUGAGGAAUACAUCGGAAUCUACUUUUUCGUGGGGGAUAACGUAGGGAAACUUACGCUAAUACCGCAUACGACCUACGGGUGAAAGCAGGGGAUCUUCGGACCUUGCGCGAUUGACUGAGCCGAUGUCGGAUUAGCUAGUUGGCGGGGUAAAGGCCCACCAAGGCGACGAUCCGUAGCUGGUCUGAGAGGAUGAUCAGCCACACUGGAACUGAGACACGGUCCAGACUCCUACGGGAGGCAGCAGUGGGGAAUAUUGGACAAUGGGCGAAAGCCUGAUCCAGCCAUACCGCGUGGGUGAAGAAGGCCUUCGGGUUGUAAAGCCCUUUUGUUGGGAAAGAAAAGCAGCAGGUUAAUACCCCGCUGUUCUGACGGUACCCAAAGAAUAAGCACCGGCUAACUUCGUG
rnacentral:rRNA from 1 species